rnacentral:rRNA from 1 species
AGCGAACGCUGGCGGCAUGCCUAACACAUGCAAGUCGCACGGGGGGGCUUCGGCCUCCCAGUGGCGGACGGGUGAGGAACGCGUAGGGACCUGUCGAGGGGUGGGGGAUAACCGCGGGAAACUGCGGCUAAUACCGCAUGACGCCGCGGCGUGACAGCCGGGGCCAAAGGCGAAAGCCGCCCGCCGAGGGGCCUGCGUCCGAUUAGCUGGUUGGCGGGGUAGCGGCCCACCAAGGCGUCGAUCGGUAGCUGGUCUGAGAGGGUGAUCAGCCACACCGGGACUGAGACACGGCCCGGACUCCUACGGGAGGCAGCAGUGGGGAAUAUUGGACAAUGGGCGCAAGCCUGAUGCAGCAAUGCCGCGUGGGUGAAGAAGGUCUUCGGAUUGUAAAGCCCUUUCGGCGGGGACGAUGGUGACGGUACCCGCAGAAGAAGCCCCGGCUAACUUCGUG